rnacentral:rRNA from 1 species
UACGAAGGGUGCAAGCGUUACUCGGAAUUACUGGGCGUAAAGCGUGCGUAGGUGGUUUGUUAAGUCUGAUGUGAAAGCCCUGGGCUCAACCUGGGAAUUGCAUUGGAUACUGGCAAGCUAGAGUGCGGUAGAGGAUGGCGGAAUUCCCGGUGUAGCAGUGAAAUGCGUAGAGAUCAGGAGGAACACCCAUGGCGAAGGCAGCUCUCUGGUCGACAUCUGACGCUGAGACGCGAAAGCGUGGGGAGCGAACGGG